CCUACGGGGGGCAGCAGUGAGGAAUAUUGGUCAAUGGACGAGAGUCUGAACCAGCCAAGUAGCGUGAAGGAUGACUGCCCUAUGGGUUGUAAACUUCUUUUAUAUGGGAAUAAAAUGUUCCACGUGUGGGAUUUUGUAUGUACCAUAUGAAUAAGGAUCGGCUAACUCCGUGCCAGCAGCCGCGGUAAUACGGAGGAUCCGAGCGUUAUCCGGAUUUAUUGGGUUUAAAGGGAGCGUAGGUGGAUUGUUAAGUCAGUUGUGAAAGUUUGCGGCUCAACCGUAAAAUUGCAGUUGAAACUGGCAGUCUUGAGUACAGUAGAGGUAGGCGGAAUUCGUGGUGUAGCGGUGAAAUGCUUAGAUAUCAGGAAGAACUCCGAUUGCGAAGGCAGUUCACUGGACUGCAACUGACACUGAGGCUCGAAAGUGUGGGUAUCAAACAGGAUUAGAUACCCGUGUAGUC
rnacentral:rRNA from 1 species